AACCCGCCUGCGUGAAGUUGGAAUUGCUAGUAAUCGCGGAUCAGCAUGCCGCGGUGAAUACGUUCCCGGGCCUUGUACACACCGCCCGUCACACCAUGGGAGCCGGUAAUACCCGAAGUCAGUAGCUUAACCGCAAGGAGGGCGCUGCCGAAGGUGGGAUUGGUAAUUGGGGUGAAGUCGUAACAAGGUACC
rnacentral:rRNA from 1 species